AGAGCGAACGCUGGCGGCAUGCUUAACACAUGCAAGUCGCACGGCUGGGGAAACCCAGCAGUGGCGGACGGGUGAGUAACGCGUAGGUAUCUAUCUCCGGGUGGGGGACAACUGUGGGAAACUACAGCUAAUACCGCAUGAUGCCCGAGGGCCAAAGGCGCAAGUCGCCUGGAGAGGAGCCUGCGUACGAUUAGCUUGUUGGCGGGGUAAUGGCCCACCAAGGCGACGAUCGUUAGCUGGUCUGAGAGGACGAUCAGCCACACUGGGAUUGAGAACGGCCCAGACUCCUACGGGGGGCAGCAGUGAGGAAUUUUCGUCAAUGGGGGCAACCCUGAACGAGCAACGCCGCGUGCAGGAAGAAGGUUUUCGGAUCGUAAACUGCUUUUCUCGGGGAAGAGAACGGACGGUACCCGAGGAAUCAGCCCCGGCUAACUACGUGCCAGCAGCCGC
rnacentral:rRNA from 1 species